rfam:Scleropages formosus scaffold11409, whole genome shotgun sequence.
UGGUGCUUGCUGGCUGUAACAGCAACUCCAUGUGGAAGCGCUCAGGGUUCCAGUGGAGCUGCUGUUACCUGCAGACAGACG